rnacentral:rRNA from 1 species
CUUGCAAACUGGAGAUGGCGACCGGCGCACGGGUGAGUAACACGUAUCCAACCUGCCGAUAACUCGGGGAUAGCCUUUCGAAAGAAAGAUUAAUAUCCGAUAGUAUAUUAAAACCGCAUGGUUUUACUAUUAAAGAAUUUCGGUUAUCGAUGGGGAUGCGUUCCAUUAGUUUGUUGGCGGGGUAACGGCCCACCAAGACUACGAUGGAUAGGGGUUCUGAGAGGAAGGCCCCCCACAUUGGAACUGAGACACGGUCCAA